ACUUGUCUUACGAUAGGAGGAAGUAACAAUAUAUAAUGGUUUGACUAUUUUCUAAAAGGAAUGUAAAUGAAAGUGAAUUUUCAUUCCACUGGUGUACUAGGAAAAUAUCUAGCCACCAGGUUCUGUACAAACCCUACAAAUACUAUUCCAGGUACUCUCAUCGCCUGUCUCUAGAGCCAUGCCAUGCUUGACCAAGUCAUAAGCCACUUGUCACUCUUCCUGGGACAGUACUGAAAAUUUUGUCAAAGCCGGUGUACAUCCAGAAGGGCCAGAACCCAGCUUAUCUGAAAAUCACGGCAUUGAUACUCAUGCCCCCAACACGUCCUAGAUCAGACAUUUGAUUCUUACUAUCUGAGCAAUGAUAUUUCUUCAGCUCAGCAUCUCAUGCAGUUUAAUAGUUUACCAACCAAUUUAAGUCUGCACUGAUAUGGAAGGAUAAAAGCUUACCGCAUACCUGAAUGCCCUAACCUGGAGGAAAGGUUAUUGCACAUCAUGAUUUCAUUGGGUUUGUUUCAUCUUGAAUUGUUGAUUAGUGUCGUACUUGUAACAUCUCCACCAAAGUUGAUAAUCAGCCACCA
rnacentral:lncRNA from 1 species